UGCAGAAAUUAUGGAAAAUUCGCCCGCCAGAUGACUGUCAAUCAAGACGUCAACCAAUAAAUGAACACGAACUUUGCGCAGUUGCCUUUAAUGCUACCGGUGCGGUAAAGAGUGGCUGUCAUCAGCGAGGUGAUGGAACUCUGUUCAGGAGGCUCAUGAAGAAGGAAUCCAGAGAGGAAAUCUGGAUACAAAUCGGUGUCGCUGCACACAGCAUGAGCACAGACUGCAGACAUGGUGACAGUAACAU